UGCCAGUGAUAAACUGGAGGAAGGUGGGGAUGACGUCAAGUCAUCAUGGCCCUUACGACCAGGGCUACACACGUGCUACAAUGGCAUAUACAAAGAGAAGCGACCUCGCGAGAGCAAGCGGACCUCAUAAAGUAUGUCGUAGUCCGGAUUGGAGUCUGCAACUCGACUCCAUGAAGUCGGAAUCGCUAGUAAUCGUAGAUCAGAAUGCUACGGUGAAUACGUUCCCGGGCCUUGUACACACCGCCCGUCACACCAUGGGAGUGGGUUGCAAAAGAAGUAGGUAGCUUAACCUUCGGGAGGGCGCUUACCACUUUGUGAUUCAUGACUGGGGUGAAGUCGUAACAAGGUAACCGUAGGGGAACCUGCGGUUGGAUCACCUCCUU
rnacentral:rRNA from 6 species